rnacentral:misc_RNA from 1 species
CCCCUACCAACCACUCCCAUAUCUACAUACCUAUGACUAUGGGUCAUCUUCCACCUCUCUGAGAGUCUCUUCUUGGCCUCCCUGCUCACAGAUGAUUCAGAAGAGCGAGAUGAUGAAGACCUGUAUCGAUUGCUCCAACCAAUAGAACUUCUAGAAAUCACUGUCUGCACAUCUGAGUCAUUUGCUGAUUCAUUGUCAGACCUGUUUGAUGAACUCUCAUCCCCAGCAUAUCCUCUAAAUC